CCUGAAGGUAACGCUAGCUGUUACCUCUGCAGUGCCCAAAGGCAGGCAGCUGGCAUGGACAUGCUGUAUCAACAUGCCUCUGUUUUACCGGUUGAAACUCCUUUAGGAGCUUUGAUUUUUCCCAAGGCCCUGCUCUGGAGCCAAUGCCUGUCACAGCUGCAUGACAGUGAUGAGCAGCAUGAUUUUUGCUGUGUACCAGGCAGAGACACUGGGAUCACACAGCUGUCUGGUGGAGCGAGUGCUUGGAGGCUCUUCUGCUUAGGGAGAUGAGACACUUCACUCAAAGUGGGGAAAAUAGCUUAAAAAUCAAGGGAGUGAGGAUUGUCAUGGGGAGGACAGGAGUCCUCAUGGUGAGGAGCACGUGGUUUGCCCUGCUGGGCAGGCAGCUGUCCUGGAAAUGCUUCUCUUUGCCUCCUGGUGAAGAGGAGAAAAAUCUCCUCUUGAGAGAGGCAACUUCCCUCCCACUAGCUUCUGAAUUCAAAGCCCUAGUCCUGAUUUUCCUCUCUGCCCCUGCCACUGGUUUUUGCUAUUGCAUUUUCCAUUCCUUAUGGAAUGCGUCGUCUACAUGUGUUUUUAGGCUGGUUACAUCACAUGGGUUUGAUGCCUGUGAUUUCAUCUGCAGUUGGACAUAGCGUAAGAGCAUAGUGAUCUUUUGACUAUGAUUGUGUCGUUUGGUCUGUUGUGGAACAGCUCGUCCUCAAGCGCCUGGCACAGGGCAUGUAAGUUGCUGGGCAUGUAUGCAGAGGAAAAGAGAGAAAAAUGUGGAACUAACCAAGGUUUGAGACAAUGCUGGCGAGACUGGCUUGGCUUGUGGCCACGACACUUGCAUCAGGAAAAGAAAGGGGCAGCAGAGGAAGACGAUGAUGAAAUAAUGACCCUCGUGGAGUCGGUGCAGCUCCCAGCUCAGAUGGGGCACUUACAUAUGCAUUUGUAGACAUGUUACCAAGGAGGAGCCUGGUAGCCCUUGUGACAUGUGUUGGUCCCACAUGUCAUAAUAGCUACUGGGUAGGAGGGGAUAAAAUUGGGACUCCCCCAGAGGAGAGGGAGAUGCACUGCUGAGGACAACGUUGCCUCAACAGGGAUGCCCGUUUAAGCAUUGUGCCUGCCAACUCCUUCUGCCAGGAAACCAGUGAUUGGGGAAAGCACCACAUUUCUCGUUGGUACCCUUGUCAUCGCCCUGGGGUCAGCAUGGAUGUAAAAAGCUCACAGUAAAGCUUGCUUACUUUAUAUAGAUAGUUAUCUUGUUUGCUCCUUACUGAGCAGAACCAAUCAGCUUCAGACCCUGCAAACUAACUAGAAUAUAAACCAGUGAUGAGGAUGGAGGUCUGGGGUAUCUAGCAAGGAGCAAACACUUAAAGGGACAUGGUCAGUGGAGAGCACAGCUGCUCUAGGGCUGUGCUGCCACCUGUAAGUGGGAGGGGACCUGUUGAGUAGUGAGUUAGGUGUUCCCAGAAAAUUUUGGUUUCGCUUGAGACCUGGUGCUUUGAGUGUGUGCUGUGAGCGUACUAUGUUUGCUGAGCAGGGGAUGCCUGUGGUAUACUAUUAUUGUGGUGUUUGUUAGCAAAUAUAUAGGGUUAGGUAUAGGUUUGCUUGUUUGAGCCAUGAAACCAAAGGAGGGCAGAGAAGCUGCAACUCCCCAAACUGAGUAUCUGGGAUGGAUAAUGGAAUAACUUGCAGCUGGGUCUGUCCCGAACCUUGGACAGGAACUGAACCAAUGGAGAUUUUAAAGUAUUGGGAACAAUUGGCAGAAACCACAUGCACACACAAAAGAUAAAGACUGGCUGUAUUGGGCAGGAUGAGUGUGUGGGACCCUUUUACUUGCCUAUAAGGUUCAGGUGGGUGCCAACAGAGAAUUGAUAGAAUACCUGCGUUAGAGCAACAGAUGCCAGAGCAUGAGAGUGCUAAUAUUCUGUGGCAAUGGAUGCUGUUGGUAAUAACUAAACAGAAGGGUAGUAUGGAGGGCAAGUGUGUGAUCUUGGCAGAGCAAUUCACGGUUGAGUUAGCAAAUUGACAUAGGAGACAGAGGGGAGAGCAGGAGGGGUGUGGUCCCUGGGUCCGGGCUCUAGUUACAAACCUGGAGUGGGACCCUGGGGAACGAACCUGUCUAAGCUUUUGUUGAGUAAAACUGAAUAAGGUACAGACCAAGCCCCGGUCAGCAUGGAUCAUCUCAGAGCCUCAACAGAACAUAUGGGUGACCCUGGCUAAUGUCACAGGCCAGGAUACUAUGGGCUCAAGUCCUGCUACGCUGCAGAACAGCGUUGUAUGAACCUGAGUGACCAUUCCCAGUCGGUACCUGCAAAGGUCUAGGAAUUAGAAGAAUUAACCAAACAACUGAAGAUGAAUGAUGAUGGAACCUAUUCUGAGACGGGACAUGGGGGUAGCUGUGGCUACAAAAACUACAGCUAUUUGGUUGCUUUUUAUGUGUAACUUUCCUAUGCAUUGCAUGCUGUGUUCCAUGUAUAUUGUCCCUGUUGUGAUCAGUAAUAGAUUUUCUGUUUCAACAGCGUGUAAUACAGGUUGUGGAAUGUCAGCAUGUUCCAACAACAGACCACGCAGUGGUGUGUGUAAGAGCAUAGUGAUCUUAUGGCUGCGAUUGUGUUGUUUGAUCUAUUGUGGAACAGCUCAUCCUCAAGUGCCUGGCACGGGGCGGUGUAGGUUUCUGGGAAUGUAUGCAGGGGAGAAGAGAGAAAAAUGUGGAACUAACCAAGGUUUGAGACAAUGCUGGCGAGACUGUGGAAAGGCUGGUGAAACUUUGCGGCUUGGCUUGUGCCCACGAUGCUUGCAUCAGGAAAAGCUGGCCAAAGGGCAGCAGAGGAAGACUAUGAUGAAGUAAUGACCCUCAUGGAGCCGGUGCAGCCCCCAGCUCAGAUGGGGCACUUCCAUGAACAUUUAUAGACAUGUUACCAAGGAGGAGCCUGGUGGCUUUUGUGACGUGUUGACCCCAUGUGUCAGAAUAGCUACUGGGUAGGAGGGGAUAAAACUGGGACCCCCCCAGAGGAGAGGGAGACACACUGCUGAGGACAACGUUGCCUCAACAGGGACACACGUUUAAGCAGUGUGCCUGCCGACUCUCCUCCAGGAAACCAGUGAUUGGGGAAAGCACCACAUCUCUCGUUGGUACCCUUGUCAUCACCCUGGGUAACACUUGAAGACAUCUUGUAUGAUUGGAGUCUUGCAUUUGCACGCCCUGUGGUGGUUAUUUCUACAAGCAGAUUUCACUUUGGGAGUAGGAGACAGUCUUUGCAGUACUUGAAGCUGUUUGGGAGGGGAGAAGGAAGAAGCUUCUAGAAUUUCUAAAGAGCUAUGUUCAUGGGAAUCGGCUAUAUAGUAGCUGGGUAUUGAAGGAUAAUUCAGCUGUGAAAGGUUUCUGCCUGUAUGCUUAAGAUACUAUAUUUGAAUGUGCAAGUUAUAGGAGUAAUUAAUCUUUAAAAAUACAAACAGAAAAAAAGAUACUUCGAAUUAUUUCAAAGUUCAUGAUUUUUGCCAUAAAGCUUUCAGCUUAAGUCCAUGUCCUACCUAAAUGUGCUAAACGAAUAGCACUAUUAGGAGCUUCAACAACAGUAUGACAUUAGAAAAAUUACAGCACUAAUUGGCACUGCUUUUACAGACCUUAAUAUUGCUACUUUAAGUUCUCAUUGUUCUCUUAACAGUUACAUUACAAAUCUUCUGAUGAAUAGCUUUUUGUACAGAAUUGUCACAUUCUGCUUUGACAAUUCAUUUAAUUUAAUGGGUGUGUAAUUCAGAUAGGUUAACUCCAGAAUGAAAGGGUCAUUCUGAGAGUGUCUGCAACAGAAAACAACAAAGUAAUUCCUUGCAUCUUUUACAGUGAAUCAGAAGAUUUUUCAUAUCUAUGGAUGCUUAAUAGGGAAAAAAAAAUUGCCAACUGUAGGAUCCAUGUCAUACACGUUACCUGUUAAAUAUAGCAAUAACUUAUUUAGAGGUAGUCUAAAAAAAGGUAUUAGAAGUAUGUAUU